rnacentral:lncRNA from 1 species
GCACACAUAUAACAAUGCACGCAAACAACACACACAUCCAUUAUAUAAAAAAUAAAAAUCAGAAAAAAGGCAUAGAGACAAAAGUGCAAGGAAGAGAUAUGAGGCAGUUAAAAUCCUACCCAAAAUUUGGGUUUGGGAGUAAAGAAAAAAAAAAAAAAAAAAAAAAAAAAAAAACUCACUGAGGCGCGCCUAGGCGGCUCCGGCAAAACCUUUCGCCCACUCCAGCAAAACUGAGGCGUUAGCCAUGGCGCCUAGCCUCAAGGGCGCCCUAGGCACGCCUCAAGGCGAGUUUUUUUAAAACAUUGGUAAAGACUGAAAAUAUAUAUUGCAGGCCCAUAUUAUUUACAUGCACCUACACAGAAAUGUUGCAUGGCUAAAGAAACACAACUUCAAUUCAGCGUUUGCAUUUUACUUUAAGUGGUAGUUCGAGGAUGAAAUGUGCAUGAACAGAACGAUAAAAGCAAUUAUGUCAUGCAAGUUACACAAGGCUUUAGCUAUUCAGAAAUUUUUCAUGGGAAAUAAUUACGCAAGCUGCUUUCAUCAGUUUCAUACAAGGAAAAAACACCCAUAAUCAGAAACAAAACUUUCCUCUCCCUCUCCAAAGAUAGGAACUUCAGAUGGGAGACUGUUGUAACAGCCAGCCUUUUGUGGUCCCUUCUCUUCCCACUGAGGUUUUCCUUCCUUGCGUGCAGCCAACUUAAGGUCUCCCAUCACCAAAAGGAUGUGCAGGAUAUCUGUGUCAGCAAUGUAACAAUGUUGCAUAAGAAAUCAUUGGACUGGCUUCAUACUCGUAGUUCUAGUGUAACUGCAACAUACUUAAGUUCACCAGAAGGACCAAGACCAACACUAAUUUAUUCUAUUACAGUUCUGAUUAAGAAUUCAAAUUUCUUAGCAAAACUUGACAUGAAAUCUUCAUAACAAUGGAGGGCAGUCCGUCCACAAAAGAGAGGAACAUGGUCAACUCCCAGUGUAAGAUAAUCAUCAUUGGAAAAUCCAUUUUGGUCCCAAUAAUAUAUAUGUUUAUUCUGAUCACCAAUCUGGGACGAAAAAAAGAAGAGGUCAACGUGUUUAUCUAGAUUCAAGAUUCAAACUGAUAGGUGUGUAAUGAAGGCCAAACUAUAGUGUUUCUUUCACAUCCCCUUGCAUUGAUAAACUUUUUAAGCACAUCAAAGCUAAAAUCAAGUAUGCUAAUGGGGAACACAGUACCAUAGCAAAUUGUAGAGCACGAAACUGAAGAAACAUUGAUAUUAUCUAUAGUCAUCCAAAUGGUUUAUGAUUCUUUUGCUAGAAGAAGAGUUAGACAAGGCAACAUGCAACUUCAAACCCAACCUGAGUCAGAAACCAGUUUGAAAAUCUCUUCAUAUAGAGACCAAUCAUAUGCAAGAGGAGAGAAACGCUCUACGAUUCCCCACCAAACCUCAACUGCAAUUCCGUGGACACAUGCCAACUUGAGUGCUUUUAGAGCUACAGUUAAGGCCUUGAUUCUGAAACAACAGUAAAUCGAGCAACAUGUAAGGAGUUUCUGUCUUACUUGAAAGGACACUAAAUUAAAAAAAUAAUUUUAGAAACAUUUUAAAAUGUAUAUUUACAUAACUUGAAUUGGGAAGAGAUCAAAAUAGUUAGCUGCAACCUUGUAGCUAAUCAUACUCUGUCGUUUAAAAGAGUAUAACAAUUAAAUUAAGAAUGAAAAUGCAUCAUAGCCUCAUCAACAGAAAGUCAUAAUAAAACUUACUUCCUAAUCCUUGGAUGCCCCACCAUCAAUACAGAAGGCAUCGACAGGCAUCAUCACAUAUAUGGGAAUUCUAUUAUCUCAGGAAGAUGGCAAUAUCGAGGACCUCGAUUUAUCUUGUGCAUACUUACUACAAGCAACAAAUCAUCUAAUUAUCACACAGACACAUUUAUACCAUCCCACUGAACAUUCGAAAGCAAUAAACUAGCUCAGAAACUUCUCGUCAAAUAGAUUAAAAGUUCGCAUCUAAAUUUUAUUGUUUGGAAUUUAUCAGCAACCCAACUGAACAUAGUCAAGUAUUCACUUCAGUAAACUCUACAGAACCUCCAAAAUUUUAUAAAUUUUCGUGCGCUUUCUCGGGAACCAAACAGACCGUGCAACUCAAAAGAAAACGGGAAAAAAACCGUAAUUGUGUGAGAUAAAGCUGAGAAUACUGUAGCUGGCGAGGGAUUGGCUGCAGCGAGUAAAGAGGCCUUUUUUAAAGACGGGAAGGGUCGAAACGUUUCGGAGGAGGUUUCGGCGGUCAGCCUUGUCGUCGAAACUGACUUCUCUGAAGCAGAAGAAGCUCCUCCUCACUUUUGUGCAUUUGUGGACGACUGCCAUUGUCCUCCAUUGCCAUCGAUCACAGAGAAUCUCUCAGCGAUAGAGAGAGCAAAUCCCAGUGUGUGUAAUUUGCAUUUGCAACUGAAAUGUACCGACUGACUUUCUCGUCGACACACUUAUUUCUACUUCUCAGACAUCACUUAUUAAUUUAUGUCAUUUAACUGUUUCAAUUGAUCGACAAUUGGGAAAUAAUAGAGGUGUGUGAAAGAUAAAAUGGGUGUGUUGAUAUCACCAUCCAAAGGUUAUCUUUGUAUGUAUUUUUUAAUUGUGAAAAGAUAUUUGGAGUAGGAUAAUAUCAGUUAACUAAAUUUUUAAACCAAAUUUGCAAAUAUGCUACCAAUAAAAAAUAAACAUUUUGAUUUGAUUCCUAAUUUUCAAGUAUUGAGUUACGAAUUAGCUAGCCCUUUAAAUUUCAUGUUUGUUAGUAAGCACGCAAAAGUCGAGAACUGGGUGAAAGCUUGAGUUGGUUCUCCCCCAUGAACCUAAUAGAAGGAUGAUCCCAUUGCUUGGGAACCUCCUGAUAUUCGUUGGUAUAAGCUUAAUGUUGAUGGUUCAAGAUUGGUGCGGGUGGAGUUCUCCGUCAAUUUGGGACAAGGAGAUUUGCUUGCUAUCACUUUGUUCCAACAAAAUUUGGUUAAUAGCUAUUAUCCUCUUGAUACUUGAUAUAAUUGUGAGCAAAUGCAAAACAUAGAUGAGUCAAUUGGUUAGAUGUGAGCUCAUUAGUUGCCAGAUUGGAGUUUUAAUAUGGAUCUCAAUAGCUUUGUCUUCAAUAACCCCCCAUGCAACCUGCCUGGAUUGGACCAACUCUUGCAGAUGGUUUUCUUGGCGUUGCUAAGCUGCGUUUUGCGUGUGGAUGUUUUACGUUAGGUUCUUCAAAUUUCUUCAUUUGAAUGGAACUAAGAUUAAAAUGGAAUGACACCAAAAUAGAAUUGAAAAGUAGAGAGUGGAAGAUAAAAUAGGAACAACUGAUCGAUUUCCUUCUUAUAAGAACAAGCAAAGUCCAAAUAUUUGAAAUUUGAUCGAUUUCCUUCUCUCGUUACUUGCUCUUAGUAAUCACACAAAAAAAGAAGAAGGAAAGAAACACUCCUCCAUUAGACACAGACAUAAGCUAAAUUCUCAAUGUGUAUGUAGUCAUCAACAACUCAUUAUGUAAAUCUAACACCCUUGUAUAUGUAAUCUCAACCUAAGACGUUUGAGAGGAAAUUGGAGAGAUUUCGUAGUGUAUUAUAAGCAUUCACAAAUCUCACAUCUGCCCAUGAUAUUUUGAGGGAAUUGAAUCAAAAUUUUAUAUGGAAUCUCUACUAAUCAAUUUUAACUUCAUAAAAAUUCCUGGAUUUAUAAAUCUAUUAAAAUCUCUCAAAUUCCGAAUUGAAUAGUUAGGAGAGAGAGAGAAAGUUAAACUUGAUAAACAUUAAAAGCUAUAAAUUACAUUGUUUGUGGGCUCCUAGCAAAGAAAAAGGGUUUGAGUUGUUAAAUUCAGAAGAAGAAAAAAUAAAUUAGAAUAUCUAAAUUUAAGCUAAAAUAGUUAGCUAGAAUUGUCAAAAAUGAUGGCUGGCUGAAUUAACAUUUAGAUCAUUUGGCUAGCUAUAAUUAGUCUGCAUAGUACAAGAAUUUGAAGACUCUUGUGAAGAAUUUGGACAUUGAAGUUCUGUUAAGACUAUACAAAGGUGAGGAAGGUGGUGGAGUGUCCCCUCCAAGUGGUGUGGCGGCAGCAUGCAUUGGGCACCCAAUGAUCCUCGUGCCAAUCUAAAGUAGUAUGACACUAAUAUAUGAUAGUGAUGCAAUUCCAUAUUUGUUGUUUAGUAAUAUCAAAUUAGCAAUUGUAAUCCAAAUUUCAAUAAAACGGAAAAUGAUUAUCGAUCAACAUGUCAUAUGUUUCUUCUUUAUUAUUUGGGCAAGACAACCCAAAUAAAACUAAAGAUAUACCUCAUAAUGAAUUAUAAAAUACUAAAAGAAACCUAAAAAACUGAUCAAUAAUACAUAAUAUCUGUACUACUGAAAAAAAACUCAUAUUGGCCCAUUCCAAGCCCAUGUUAAACCUAGAGACCCUACACGACCUGCCGUGCCAAGCACAGCUCCAUGGGCUAGCCCUAACUAUAACUUAAAAGCUUGAAUUAUACAUGAUAAAAUUUCUAAACUAAGUUCAAAAUAAGAAUUAAGUACCAACAAAGCAACAACCUAAAGAACCAUUAUUUAUCACAGACCGCGUGCCUGUUGGAGUAAUCCUUCCGGGCUACAAAGAUGGGAUGUUGGGUUAUCACCAUCCAUCGUUUCUAAGCCGCUUUAAUAAGAUAUUUAGUGUUUGAACUUGGUAGAAUAGAUACAUUUGUAAUCAAGCCAAUGUCUAAGAAACCUUAAUUAUCAGUCUGGACAAUGAACAAAAUUCCAGUCAGAACCUUAUAACUUAUAAUCUUACGAAACAUGCAAAGCAGCUCCAUGACGAGACACAAUUGAAGCAACGGGAUCAUAUCCAUCUCUAAGAGCAAUGUUGCAGUAUCCAGCUGUAAGUUCAGCAGGCUGUGCCAUCUCUGGUACCACCAACAUAUUCCACCAAUUUUAGCCGCCAAUAGAAUAGAUGUUUGCUUAUUUUCUUGAUAUUUCUUCAGAAUGUUAGCUGCCUUUGCAAGAAUAUCAUCUUCAUGAUGGAGCAACCUACCACUGUACCAUUCGUACAACGAGUCAAGCCAUGUAUUGCAUGAUAAAGAACUUACUGCAGUUUCUUAAUUGUCCUUAUUUUAAUUUUCCAAUUAUACUCCAUAGUUGUCCCUAGUUUACUAACCAACACAUUGUAUGUAAAGAGACUUAAAGAACAGAGAGAUGAUUUCUAUCUUAAUAUUCCUCUUCUCAUUUACUUUUCACAACUCAUCUUUACACUUACAUUUCGAUAUCUAUAUAUAGUUAAGGCUAUGUACCAAAAUAUCUAUGACAGCCUGUAAACAUAACCACCUAACUAAACUAUACAGAUGUAAUAAUACAGUUAUAACAAGAAUGAUUUUCUAACUAAAAUUAUAUGAACUGUUAUGACUUGGCAUCUUUAUCUUUACACCCCCUCAAGCUGAGCUUGGAAAGACUAGGAGUUCCAAGAGAGAGCUUGGAUUGAAGGAAGAGAAACCGAUGUUUAGACAGAGAUUUGGUGUGAAUAUCUGCAAUCUGAUCCUGACUACAGACAUACUGAAUUUUAACCAGAUUGGCAAGGACCAGCUCCCUGAUAUAGUGGUAAUCGAUUUCCACGUGUUUAGUUCGGGCAUGAAAAACAGGGUUGGAUGCAAGUGAAAUGGCAGAGAUGUUGUCGCACCAGAUGGUAGGUUGGAGCGUGAAGGGGAAACCAAAAUCUCUGAAAACCUUGCAGAUCCAGGUAAUUUCAGCGGCAGUGUGAGCAAGAGACCGAUAUUCAGCCUCAGUAGAAGAACGAGCUACUGUAGACUGCUUUUUAGCACUCCAGCUGACUAAAUUGGAGCCAAGAUACACACAAAAUCCACUCGUGGAUCGUCUAUCAAAUGGGCAACCAGCCCAGUCUGCAUCAGAGUAUGCUGAUAGAGUAAGAGGACCCUUAAGAAACCAGAUGCCAUGAGAAGAUGUACCUUUGAGAAAGCGCAAAAUUCUCUUGGCUGCUUGCAGAUGUAAGUCAGUAGGAGUAUGCAUAAAUUGGCCUACUUGGUUGACUGCAAAGGAGAUAUCAGGCCGAGUCCAAGUGAGAUACUGAAGACCUCCCACAAUGGAUCGAUACUCGGUUGGAUUUGCCAAAGGUGUACCACUGUGAUCCAAUUUGACAGUACCAAGAGGUGUCGAACAAGGCUUAGCACCCUCCAUUUUUGUCUUGUGCAAAAGGUCCAACAAAUAUUUCCCUUGAUGUAAAAAUAAUCCUUCUGUGGUGCAUUGGACUUCAAGUCCCAAGAAGUAAUGUAAGGGACCUAAGUCUUUGACAGGAAACAAAGAACUUAGCUUCUGAAUGAACAGAUGGCAGGCUGAAGAAUCCGGACCACUGACCAAUAUAUCGUCUACAUAGACAAGUACAACCACAAGAACUGGAGCCUUGAGAACAAAGAGAGAUGCAUCAGAGGAGGACUGAGUAAAGCCGAGAGACUGAAGAGACUGAAACAGCUUAUCAAACCAUGCCCGUGGGGCCUGUUUGAGUCCAUACAGGGACUUUGUCAAUUUACACACAUGAUUUGGAUAGUUUGGAUCACUGAAACCAGGUGGCUGAUGCAUGAAGACUUCUUCCUUUAAAUCACCAUGAAGAAAAGCAUUGCUAAUAUCGAGUUGAUGAAGAAACCAAUUAAACUGGACAGCAAAGGUUAACAGUAUGCGAAUGGUGACAGGCUUUGCGACAGGACUGAAUGUCUCUUGAUAGUCUAGACCCUCUUGUUGGUGAAAUCCCUUGGCAACAAGCCGGGCUUUAUACCUGUCAACUGUUCCAUCAGGCUUCUUUUUAUUCUAAAUACCCAUUUACAGCCAACAAUAUUCUGAUUGGAAGAAGAAGGAACCAAGAUCUAUGUACCAGUGGAUUUGAGGGCAUUAAAUUCGGCCUGCAUUGCAGUUCUCCACUCUGCAAACUUAGAAGCUUGAUUGUAAGUUGUGGGGAUAUAAUCAAUAGAGGAUGAGAGGGGAUGUUUGGUAGCAUUAUAGGCCCGAGGCUUAAAAAUACCAUUUUUCGAUCGAGUGACCAUUGGAUGUGUGUUAUGACUUGGCAAAGGUGGAGAAGGUGAUGGAGAUUGGAUCGGGACUUGGGAGACAGGAGCACUAGGAGAAGAAGCAGAGGUAAUAGGGUUGAUAGGAGGAGAGCAUGUUGGAGCAGAGUUUAGGGUAGAAAUAGGAAAAUGUAGAUCAAAGGUAGGAGAGAUAGGAAGGGUAGAAGGAGAGAAUGAAGAUGUCUUGGUAGUGAAGGGAAAUGAGUUCUCAUCAAAUUGAACAUGCCGAGAGAUGUAAACUCGGGCAGUGGCUGUGUCUAAGCACCUAUAACCCUUAUGUUGUAAGCUGUACCCAAGAAAAACACACUGCUUGCUUUUGCCAUCAAGUUUAGAGUGAACAUAAGGUUUUAACCGUGGGAAACAACUACACCCAAAGAUCCAUAGGCGAGUGUAGUCAGGGAGUGUGUGAAAUAGUAACUCCCAUGGAGAUUUUAGAAGACCAGAAAUGGGUAACCUGUUGAUCAAGUAAAUGGCAGUGGAGAAGGCUUCAACCUAAUAAACUGAAGGGACUUGAGAAGCUACUAACAGUGUUCGUGCUGUUUCUACAAGAUGUCGAUGUUUGCGUUCUACACAUCCAUUUUGUUCAGGUGUAUGUGGGCAGCUGUACUGAUGAGAAAUGCCAUUCAAAUGGAGAUAAGACUGAAAAGAAGCACUAGUGAACUCACCCCCUGAAUCAGAACGUAUAGUCUUUAUUUGAUUGCCAACAGAUUUUUCCACAUAGUUCUUGAAAUUUACAAUGGUAGAAAACACCUGAGAUUUGCGUCUUAAUGGAAAGAACCAGCUAUAUCUGGUGUAAUCAUUUACUAACAACAGAUAAUACUGAAAACCACUCACAGAAGUCACAGGGGCAGGUCCCCAUACAUCACAAUGAAUUAAAGCUAAACUAUGAGGAGUUGAUGACUUAGCAGGAGAAAAGGACAGUUUAUGAUUCUUAGCAAUGGCACAAUCUGAGCAGAAGAAGUCAACUGAGGAUUUACCAUGCAGUGCAAGACGAUUACUAGAGAUUACUUUCCGAAAAAUGGUAGAGGAGGGAUGACCCAAUCGACUGUGCCAAAUCUUCACUGGAGCUUUAAUACUGACGAAUGCUGAUGAAGAAACAGAAGAGAUACCUCUGGAAGGAAAGCUUUGCAAAGGAUAGGAGCCAUCUGUAACUGGUCCCCGCAAAAGCAUCUUCCCCGUAGAACGAUCCUUUACAGAGGAUCCAUCAGAAUCAAGGGUUAAUGAACAUGAAUUGUCAUUAACAAAUUGAAAAGCAGACAAUAAGUUGUGCUUCAUUUGAGGAACAUGAAGGACAUUGUUCAAUUUAAAGGAAUGAUAAGAAGCAUGUAACAAAGAGGAACCAGUAUGAGUGAUGGGAAGACCUUUACCAUCACCAAUGUAGACUUUAUCUUCACCAGUAUAAGGAGAUGGAGACGAGAUGUUGGAGAUGUCAUUGGUUAUGUGAGAAGUUGCUCCAGAAUCAAUGAGCCAGGAAGGAGAAGAGGACUUGGAUUGAUAGCGCGCACACAUUGCAGCAAGCUUUGCUGGAGGGAUUUUACCAGAAAUAUCUGGAUUCAUGCGAUCAAAGCAAUCGAUUGCCUCAUGACUUGGAUUCCCACAGAUCUGGCAGGGAUUACGAGCACCCGAUGAAGAUGAACCACGAGAGGAGGAAUGAUGACCACGAUUGGAUCCAGAAGUGAAGCCAUGAGUGUAGUUGCCCCGAUGAUUGCCUCUGUGUCCUCGAUUAUUAGAAAAUCGAUUAUUCCGGCCACGAUAGGAGUUAUAUCGAGAAGAGUUAUGGAGAGGAGUCUGUUGAGCAGCAAAAGCCUAAGGUGGUGUAGGAAGAAGAGGCGGUGAAGCGUGAACCGAGAGAGCAUGAAACGGUUCAGUAGGUGCAGAAGAGGCAAGUUGCUUCCGUCGAUUCAUGGAAAGCUCCUUGGUGAGUAAUAAUCCAUGCAACUCAUCAAGAGAUAUGGAAGAGAGACGAAGCAUGAUGGAGUCGAUGAAUGAUUCGAACUCAUCAGGAAGACCAGCCAGUGUAGCAGCAAUUAGAUCUCGAUCUGAAAUCGAAGCGCCUGCUGCAGUGAGGGUAUCUGAAAUUUCUUUGAUCUGCUGCAGAUAAUCCGCCAUUGAUUGAGAGUUCUUCUGAAUGCACUGAAGGUGAGAACGAAGCUGAUGAAUGUGCGCAUCAGAAACACCACCGAAGCGCUGCUCAAGUUUAAGCCACAGAUCUCUGGAAGACGAAACGCCGACAGUGAAGGGAAUGACUUCUUCAGAGAGUGUUGAAUUGAACCAGAUGAGAAGAUUCUGAUCUUUCUCAUACCAACUCUCGAAAGCAGGAUUGAUCGAUCGAUCUGGUAAAAAUGGCGCCGGACAGGGCUCAGUGCCAUCAAUGAGUCCGAGAAGCUUGUACCGGCGAAGAAUAGGGGCAAAGAGAGCACACCAUGGUAGGUAAUUCGAACGCUUGAGCUUGAUCGGCACCAUGUUGCCGAUGUUCUGAAUCGUGAGAGAAGCGUACGAAUUAGACAAAUUAGGGUUUGAAGAAAAGGAAUUGGGAUUCGGAGUCGGAGAAGAGGAACCGGUGGGCGACGCCAUCAGAUAACAAGAUGCAAGAUCCAAGAUGCGAGAUCGGUAAUAUCUCACAGAUCGAAGAUGAGAUGAGUGAACGGAGACGAGAGCACGGCGGAAGGGAGGAUGAUCGAAGAGAGCCAUGAGGCGGUGGCGAUGGAUACCAUAAAGAGACUUAAAUAACAGAGAGAUGAUUUCUAUCUUAAUAUUCCUCUUCUCAUUUACUUUUCACAACUCAUCUUUACACUUACAUUUCGAUAUCUAUAUAUAGUUAAGGCUAUGUACCAAAAUAUCUAUGACAGCCUGUAAACAUAACCACCUAACUAAACUAUACAGAUGUAAUAAUACAGUUAUAACAAGAAUGAUUUUCUAACUAAAAUUAUAUGAACUGUUAUGACUUGGCAUCUUUAUCUUUAGUAUGUUGGUUCGGAGACUGCACUGUCCCAAAUAGUUCAACUCGUUGAAGCUCCACAGCUUACCAGAGCACUUGUUCAGAAACUAGCUGACCAGAUUCAAAGUUUUUUGUUCCAACAGUGGGUUUUUUUUUAAUCCUCAAAUUUUCCAUAUUGCAUUACUGCUUCGUGUAAGAUAAAUUAAUGAGUACUUUUUUUGAGCGAGUAAAGUUUUAUGUGCUUUUUUCCUUCAUACUUUUACCAAAAAGCAAUCUAAAACUGAAAAUUGGAUAUGGACAAGUAUUCAAAGCAUUGAGCUGCAUCUGACAGUCAGCAGGAGAUGAUUUUUCUUAAUGAAAAAGCCGUUCUUCAUUUAAAAGAUCAGCAGCCUAUUUCUAGGGGUUGCUUUUCUUCUUAUCAUCUCGUAAAGUUUCUUGUCAUUUCAUUUCCUUUAUGUCUUUGGCUUCUUUCCUUUUCUUUUGCCUAGUUUUCCGCUUUGAGGUUUUUAUACAAUAACUUUUUUGAGUUUUUUUUCUUUUGCCUAGCACACCGUGUAUUAUGACAAUAUUUCAAUUGCAUAGUCGAUUCUUUUUUCUUUCUUACAUCAGGUUGUCAUUGUAGCAUUUUUGACAUGGCUUGGAUGGUUCAUCCCUGGAGAAUUUGUUCUUUUCCCCAAAAACUGGAUACCAAAAGGCAUGGAUAAAUUUGAGCUGGCAUUACAGUUCGGUCUCUCAGAGUUAGUGGUUGCUUACACUUGUUCCUUGGGACUAGCAACCCCUACGGUGGUAAUGGUUGCAACAGGGAAACGCUCUGCCUCGGUUCUGGUCAUUUCAUAUUAUCCCCUAUGCUACCAGCAUACAUUGUGUUAACAUUCAGUAUUAUAACAAGUUACGCACUUCAUUCCUGACCAGUAAAACGCUCUGCCUCGGUUCAAUCAACGUUUAGGCUCUUGACAUAGAACUAAAUACAAUCUAUGUCAUUGGGUAUGGAGGAUGUUCUUUAUGCAUAUAUUGGGAUUGAACAUGCAACUAUUAUUUCAUAGUUGGAAUCUGUCUCAUAUGACCCUUUGGUCUGGCCGAUUGAUGGCUGUAUGCACCUUGUCCAUGUCAAAAAGCCGAACUCGCCAAGUUUCAAAAUCCCCAUUUCUUGUAGAUGACAGCUCUAACUGAAGGAGAGUUCUCUUUACCCCAACUCCUUUUUUUAUAACAAAGCUAAUAAUUGUUUCGUUCUUUUUGGGGUUUAUGUUCUUUCCAAAAUUAAAAGCUGAACAAACGGUAUCUAAGUCAUGAAGGUUGAUAUGUUUCAUAGCAUUUAACACUUUGUUGGUGUCUGGACGUUUAUGGACAUGUUUGAUCCUUGGAGGUGAAAACGGUUGUUUUUGAUGAAACAGGGACUCUGACAGUUGGGAAACUCGUAGUAGUUGAUGAUGUGCCUCUUCUCCAAUUACUCAAUGGAGGAGUUCUGUGCUGUGCUAUUGCCACAAAGGUUGGUGCUUAUGUUUCAAAUUUGUACAUGAAAAGUUUAAUUUGCGUAUUAAAAAAGUUGGAGUGUUUGUAGAGUUAUGCUACAGAUGAGACCACUCAUUGUUAUUAUGCUAUCGAAAAUUAUUUUGUCAAUCAUGCUACCAUGCUUCUAUUUGAGAAAUAUGUAGGCAAAUAGUGAACACCCAAUGGCAAAAUCGGUGCUGGAGCAUGCUAAGAGGCAGCUAAAGACAUUUGGAUCAACUAAGCAUGUGAUGGAGGCUAAGGACUUUGAGGUGCACGCAGGAGCUGGCGUUAGUGGAAGAGUUGGCGACAAAAUGGUUUUGGCUGGGAACAACUGGCACAUAUGCGGGAAAACAAUGUCCAGGUUGGUCCUGAGGUUGACAAGUAUGUUUCAGAACAUGAGAAUCUGGCUCGAACGUGUGUGUUGGUUGCCAUCGAUGGAAAGAUUGCUGGGUCAUUUGCUGUAACCAUGGAAGAAAAUGCCGAUAAUAUCGGCGAAAUAUCGCCGAUAUUAUCGGUUUUUCGCGCAAUGGAUAUUUAAAUAGGUAUCCGAAUGGUUUUCGUCAAAAUAUCGCGAUAUUUUUUGAACGGUGCAAUCGGAGAAGAACGUCGGAGAUGGUGUGCCUAUUCCCGAGCCGAUUUCGUCCCAAAAACCUUGCAAAAACACAAUUUUGAACUUAAAUUUCACAUAUUAGGUUCAAAUUUCACGCAUGCAAGAGGUAAUCAACAUAUGUGAUGUCGGUCAGAGUGCUGAAUUUCAAUGGAAUCUCACCUGAAAACUUGUUAUCUUCGAGUCGAAGACCAACCAGAGAGCUCCAUCAAAACCAAGGUCUCGCCCGUAGCCAACGCCCCGAACAACCACGAAGAACCCGAACACGUGGAACAGAGGCAGCGUGAACAGCAACACGCCUUGGCCGUCGGGUAGGGUCGGGUCAGGUUUGCGCCAAAAGGCGUGGAGUGCGUCCAUGAGGGCGAUGAAAUUGCGGUGAGUCAACAUAACGCCUUUGACACGGCCGGUGGUGCCGAAGGGCGUGGAGCGCGGCCAUGAGGAUAAGAUGGUGAUGGUGAUGUUCCUCGCGCAGGGAGAUGGGUGCGUGCGUGCUGCGGUGCAGAGAAGAGAGAUGAGGGAGAUAUGAGAGAGAGAGCCGAGAGGGAGACAGAAGAAAAAGAAAAGAAAACAGAAAGAAGAAGAAAAGAAGAAGGGAGUCACGGGGGAACAGAGAGAGAAAAGAGAAGAGUGAAGGGGGGGCUGCCACGUGGCCACUUCAGAAAGAAAGGGAUCCAAUGUUUUGGAUCGUGAUUGGGUAGUCAAAGAGGACCAAUUUGAUAUAUUAAAAUGUUUAGGGGAUAAUUACACAAAUAUAUCUUUAUAAAUGGGGGUGGGUGUUACAUAUUGCCCUAAAAAACUCCAAGUAAUUACAACAUUGUAUUAGAAUUGUAAUUGAUCCUUGUUAGAUUUGGUUUAGAAAUUCUAUGUAAUUUAGUGAUUGUUUCAUAUUAGGUUUAGAUUUGAAUUUUUUACUCCAUUUAGAUUUUAAAGGAUUAUAAUAGAUUUAAAAAUUUAUGAAUUUUGAUGAAGUUUAAUCAUUUUUAAAACUUUUAUGUAAAAUUUUUAGUGAAUUCCCUCAAAUUUUCAGGGAGCGAUUUGAGAAUGUUUAAAAUAUUAUGUGAAAUAUUUCUAAUUUUUUCGAGUUUCCCAACUUUUUAAAAAUCUCUUCGAAUCAAUUUCUAAAUGAAUACAUUUGGAAUGUAUGAAUUUCUUAAAAAUCAUGAUCGAAUACCCCUUAAACUUUAAAGAAUCACUUAAAAUCCUGAUUAAAUGCCCUUAGAUUUUUAAGGAGAAUUAAAAUGUUUAUAAGCCCCAAUUGGAUGUACCGCUUAAUUUAACUAAUUGACACAACACAACAAAACCAGUUAAGAUUACAAAUUAACACAAAAGACGACUUGAUGCGAGGUCAUAUCUAAAAAACUUGCCGCAAUAAGCCCCAAUUGGUGUGUUUAAACUUCUUUCAUUAAUUACAACAUAUUUUCUACACUCACAAUGUUUGUCAGCUCGCUAUAUAAUCAACUUGAUAAUGUUAAAUCCAUCAUGCAAUGCAUUUCCUUCCAAUUUUUUGUGAUAAAUUAAUAGAUAAUUGACUAAAUAAACAUCCUGCAAAGUUUCAAUAAAAAUUUCCAAGUUUCUUACAAUUUCCGUGGUUUUCAUGUAAUUUUUAUCGAUAUCGAUAUUAUCCCGAUAUUUCCAUCGAUAUUUCCGUGUUUUCGGACUACCGAUAUUUCCGAUAUUACCGAUAUUUUCUUCCUUGGCUGUAACUGAUCCAGUAAAGCCAGAGGCUGCAAGAGUCAUCUCUUAUCUUCACUUGAUGAACAUUACAAGCACCAUGGUUACUGCUGAUAACUGGGCUGCAGGAGCAGCCAUUGCGAAGGAGGCUGGCAUUGAUAAGGUGUCUGCUGAGACGGAUCCACCAGGAAAAGAUGAUAGAAUAAGAAUUACAGGUACGAUUAUAGAAUAGUUACAGGGGUGGUGCGAAUGAAUUACAAUUACCCAGCUCUACAAGUAAUUUUAUUCUGGUUUUGAGCGCAGAUUAAGGAUUACUAAAUUAUAUUUCAAAUGACUUGCCUAGUGUGAACUAAUGUCUUGUAGAAAUCUUCACACUCAUUUUUCUAUAUCAAGUUUGUUUCCGACUUGAUAUGUGAGUGCAAUCUAUCAAACAUAGCGUUUUCAGACUUAUUAAAUUGGAUUUGGAUGCAGAUGAAAGGAAUGCCGGUGGCAAUGGUGGGAGAUGGAAUCAAUAACUCCCCGCCUUUAGUUGCAGCAGAUGUUGGCAUGGCAAUUGAAGCCGCUGAUAUAGUUAUGAUGAAGUGCUGUAUCCAAAUGUAAAUUCUGUUGGAUAUAUGUCAACAAUCUGUGAUAAUUUGUAUAUGCUAAUAAAUAACAAAUGCGAUAAGAAUUAACAAAAUAUAAUCUAGAAUACGAAUUAUAAAAACAGACAACUUGAAGAUCGAGGCUUGCGUACCGCAAUGUCCUUGAAACAGAAAUUUCGUCCCUACUCUGUGCUUGUAUUUCUACGGACGUCUGCUUCACUAGGAUUCAACGAUCAAGUUAAAAUUCCAGCACCGGAAAAUUUAACUUCUGGCGAAUUUAGUGUGGUUCUCUCAGUAAGAAGGUUUAGGAAUGUAGAAGAUGAAGUUGAUUAUUUUCUGUAUACUAAAUGCCAUGCAGAUAGAUGUAUAUAUAGCAAAUGGAUGUCUGUUUGCAACAGGUAUGAGAAUGGGGUGUGACUGUUGGGAGACAUCUCUUCAGAGGGGUGCUUUGCUCUGUGUUUAGAAAGAACACUCAGACUUCAUCUGAAAGGAUGAGUCUUUUCAUAAAAAAUAAAUAAUUAAUUUAAUUCGAAUUUAAUUAAACAUAAUUAAGUAAAUCCGGAAAAUAAUUAAUUAAAUAAUUUAAUUAUUAGAGCCCAAGAGCCCAUUUUUUGACAAUUAAAUAUAUAUUAAUUAUAAUUAAUUAUAUAUUAAUUACCGAUUUUAGUCUCCAGGCCUAUUACUCCAAUCACUUUCUCUAAAGGAUAAAGCCUUAUAAAAUGAUAAAAUCUUUUGGGAAUGGCCAAUGUGGGACAAAGAAAUUUCUACUCAAACUACUCAAAUUUCUAACAAUACCCCACAUUUGAGUUGAAAUUUCAUUCAAACUCCAACAAUUACCUCACAUUUGAAUGCAAAUGUAAAUGCAAGUGUGUGAAUAGGCUGCAUGACUAGGCUGCCUAAAACUGAGAGAAAAUAGUCAUGAUAUGCAUCGGGUGAAGUGUCUUUUGGACUUGAACUUACCCUAAUGAAAACAUAUCGGGUUUACAUGGUGACGCAGUGGAUGUGGAAGAUCUUGAAUUGUUCACCGCAGUAGUAAACCAAGACAAUAUGCUACACACAUAUCAUGGCUGCCACACGUCAAUUCAUACGGUUGUGUUCAUUUUGGCCCUGAACAUAUCCCGGAUUUCGUAGGAGCUUUAGAGAAUUUAGCUAUUUCAAUUCUCAUAAAUGUGGCCCCAUUUACUCCUAUAUAGGUGACAUUAAUUAAGAAUAGUCUGCCAUAUUCUUCUUGAUAACAAGAUAUUAAUGUCAUUAAAUGUAUAAAACAUAACCCCUCAAACGUCAACAGACAACACACAUUUUAUCAUAAGAAUGGGUAAGGUGUGUGUUCAACUUUUGAAUCAAACUCAAUCAGUUUGCCUAUUGAACCUAGACCAUGGGAUCUCCAAUCAGCUAGGUUAGGUUUCCGUCCAGUUUGAUUCAUUGAAUUGGCUUAAGACCCAUUCCCCUCGAUGUAAAUAAUAUUUGCUCUCUUGGUAGGCCUUUUGUCAAAGGAUCAACUAUAUUUUCAUUUGACUUCACAUAAUCAAUGGAUAUUAUUCCAUUGGAGAGCAACUUCUUAAGAGUAUUAUGUCGACGCCUGAUGUGACGUGACUUCCCAUUGUAAACAUGACUUUUGGCCAGUGAUUGCGCGGCCAUACUAUCGCAAUGUAUACAUAUAGCCGUGACCGGCUUUGGCCACAUCGGAAUAUCCUCCAGAAAAUUUUUUAGCCACUCGGCUUCUUCACCAGCCAAGUCUAAAGCUAUAAACUCAGACUCCAUGGUGGACCGAGCUAUACAUUUUUGUUUAGAAGAUUUCCAAGAUAUUGCUGCACCUCCCAAGGUAAAAACAUAUCCACUUGUCGACUUAGAUUCUGUAGUGUCAGAAAUCCAAUUGGCAUCACUGAAGCCUUCUACAACAGGUGGAUAUUUUGUGUAGUGUAAUCCGUAGUCAAGUGUAUUUUUUAAAUACCUUAACACUCGUACUAAAGCAUCCCAAUGCUCUUGUGCCGGAUUACUUGUAUAUCUACUAAGCCUACUUACUGCAUAAGCUAAGUCAGGCCUAGUUGAAUUCAUCAAGUACAUUAGACUUCCAAUUACUUGAGAAUAUUCAAGUUGAGAUAUGGCAUCGCCUUUAUUUUUCUCCAACUUGCAUCCAGCAUCAAAAUGAGUUGCAGCAGGUUUGUAGUCAAAUUGACCAAACCUUCGUAAUAUUUUUUCUGCAUAAUGGGAUUGUGUAAGGACAUAUCCUUCACUAUUUCUCUUAAUUUGAAUUCCUAAAAUGACAUCGGCUUGCCUAAGUCUUUCAUGUCAAAACUGGAAUUCAACAUUUUCUUUGUUUUGUUGAUUACAUCUUUAUUGCUUCCCAUUAUGAGCAUAUCAUCCACAUACAAGCAGACAGUAACACAAGUUUUAUCAUUACUCUUAAUGUAGACACAUUUAUCAGAUUCAUUUAUCUUGAACCCAUGUGUCAACAAAGUAUGAUCAAAUUUCUCAUGCCAUUGUUUUGGUGCUUGUUUAAGUCCAUAAAAUGACUUAACUAAUUUGCACACUUUGCUUUCUUGUCCUUUAAGUACAAACCCUUCAGGUUAUUCCAUGUAUAUUUCUUCAUCUAGUUCUCCAUUUAAAAAUGCUGUUUUUACAUCCAUUUGAUGUAUAUCAAAGUUGUAUAUGUUGGAAGUAUGCCCACAAAGCCACUCAUUUGAUGUAAUAGCUUUUGGAAUACUUAAUGUAUUAAACUAUUAUAUGUUUAAUGAAGGGCAAAGCUUAUUGUUAAUCGCUAUUUAUUGUAUUAUGUGUUUAAGCAAUAAGGGAAUCCAAGGAAUGUAUUUGAUAUAAGAGAUAAGUGAUUUAAGUAAGUUAGAUUAACGAGACCUUUCUCUUAUGCUCAUUCCUAAAACGUUCCUAGCCAUAGGAUUGCCAAUUGGGCAUUGACAAUCUGCUAAGGUUAGUAUGUGUUAUGUCAACUCAAGCGUGAGUAUGACUAGUCUCAAGUCAUUUAGUGUUGGACACUAAGACAAACACGUAGGUGCUUGAAAGAGUAAUCGAGUACACUAAACAAUAAUUAAAAGAGAGUUCGAACAUAUAUGUCAUGUAAGAACUCGUAAGUUGCAAUAUGCAAAGUAGUCCUUUGACCUGAGGCAUCAUAGAUGUCUAAUGGUUAGGUCCUUGAUCUUUGAUCAUGUCAAAGGCAUUCCAUCGAGAGUGUCCACGGCAUUGUUGAGGUCAAGCUAUCUAGUCAUGUAGGCAUAUGAAUGCACAACAAGGGAUCUCUAACCUUCCAUAGUGGAAGGAGAAUACUCUAAGAUAUGAUUCAGGAGUCUUUGGCCAAAGCAUACGAAUAUGACUUAGGAAGUAUGUUCCAAAUCAUAUUCAAUUGAAUCAUAUAGAUAAGUAUUACAUUGGAUAGUAGACAUUAAACAAACUAUCACUCAAACAAUGUGAUUAAGAGUAUUGUAUUAGAGAAUGACUGUAUUGCAUUGAAAUUGUAACUGGAUAGGUCCUCCAACCAAUUCUAUUUAGCUUGGGUAGCCAUGACAUGCUACUAGGUGUCACUAAUGGUUUGUGGAAGCCCUGAAGAUUAGCAAACACUAAUCUUCAACAAAGGGAGAAUUGAAAUGUUGUUUCAAUUCACAAUCGAUCGUUAAGAGUAAUAAUCGACCACUGCCUCGCUAAUUGGAACCUAAUGGAUCAUACACCGAGUAAGGAUGAAAGUGAAGAAAUAUAAAUGAGAUGGAUAAGCAAUUAAAUGGUUUAAUUGAGAAUGGUCAAGAUUAAUUAAUUAGUUAAUUAAUUACGAAAGGUUCGUAUUGGGCUUUUAAGUUGGUUUUGGGUUUUGGGGCCCAAAAGUGUUUUGGCCCAUAAAGCCCAUUAUGUUUAAGUUGUAUGACAACUAAAACAAAAUGGGCAAUUAGCCCAAUAACAAAGACAAGGCCAGCCAUAAGGGUGAGUGGAUGCAAACUUGAAUUAAUUACAAGUUUGCCACUCAAAUGUGAUGUAGUAUAAAGUUAACUUUAUAGCUAUUUUCUCAUUAGGGUUUUUCUUUGAGGCAAAGAGGUGAAACAUUAUUCUCUCUUUUUCUACAAGGAGGCCGGCCACAUAGUGAAGAAAUAGCUAGCAAUCUUUUCUUCUCUAAGUCAUCCAUUUCAUCUUCACACCUCAUCCUUGGUGUGGAGACUUAGAGACACCAAACCUUUGGUGUUUUUGGAGAUCCUUUCCUUACAUCCUCAAGGAGCAAAGGAGCACAAAAAGGGAAGGAAAUCACAAGGAACUAGGAGGUGACUUGAAGGCCCUCCACUUGGGUGAAUCCCUUGUGUAAACAAGGAUGAGCUUCAAGGGUAAUAAAUUUCUAAAUCUUACCUUCUCUUUAAUGUUGUUAAAGAAUCUUAUGGUUCACGAUUCACUAGCCUUUGAAAGUCAUGGGUUUUAGAAUUGUUUUUGAAUGCAUGCCUACUUUAAUGUGUUAAUAGUUUGCAUAUGUGUUCAAAUAUUCUCACAUGUUCUUAGCCAGGACAAAAUUUUUCCUUCAAGUGGUAUUAGAGCCUAGGUCUAGUUUAUGGUGAAUCCUUUUGGGUUUUGUGAUUUUCAUGAUUUGUGAUUUAAAUGUUGUAAAUGUUACAAGCUUUGUUCUUGCUUUUGAAUAUAAAUUUUGCUUGAAAAUUUAGCAUCUCAAAUGUUGUAGAUGUAGUUCAUUAAAGCAUGAAUAUUGGAACUAAAAUUUGGUGCCAUGUAUGUUGGGAAAUUCGGCCAAAUCCAAAGGGUGGAUGUUUUUGGGUUCAUGUUUGUCUUGUUAAAAUGGUUUUAAAGUGACUUUUGGAACCCCUAAGUACCCUAGGAUAUUAACCCUCUUUUGUGUUGUGAAAAUUUGAGUUUUAAUGAGUGAAAACAUUCAUGGAGCUCUUAUGAGUUUUCAUGUGUGUUCUUCAAUGUUCUUGAUAUUCUUAUGAGUUUUCAUGUGAGUUUUCAUGAGUUUUCAUCUGAAAGGAUGAGUCUUUUCAUAAAAAAUAAAUAAUUAAUUAAAUUCAAAUUUAAUUAAACAUAAUUAAGUAAAUCCGGAAAAUAAUUAAUUAAAUAAUUUAAUUAUUAGAGCCCAAGAGCCCAUCUUUUGAAAAUUAAAUAUAUAUUAAUUAUAAUUAAAUAUAUAUUAAUUAUAAUUAAUUAUAUAUUAAAUACCAAUUAAUUAGUACACCCCAAAGCCCAACCCCAAGGGUGAGCCCAAUUUUAGUCUCCAGGCCUAUUACUCCAAUCACUUUCUCUAAAGGACAAAGCCUUAUAAAGUGAUCAAAUCUUUUGGGAAUGACCAAUGUGGGACAAAGAAAUUUCUACUUAAACUACUCAAAUCUCCAACAAAUUCAACAGGCUGUGCUAUCGUCUGGUACCACGAAUAUAUUCUACAGUCGACAAUAGAAUAGAAGUUUGCUUAUUUUCUUGAUAUCUCUUCAGAAUGUUAGCUGCCUUUGCAAGAAUAUCAUCUGCAUGAUGGAGCAACCAUGUAUUGCAUGAUAAAGAACUUAGUGCAGUUUCUUAAUUGUCCAUAGUUUAAUUUUCCACUUUUGAGCUUUUUAUCCAAUAACUUUCGAGUUUUUUCUUUUCAAAAAUCUUAUUUUGUUUUAAAAUUGAAUUCUGUUGCCUGACAAAUUGGGUAAAUGGUAGCUGGAGGCGAAGUACAUCGCGUAUUACGACAAAUUUUCAUUGUAGCAUCUUUGACAUGGCUUUGGAUUGAGAAUUUGGUCCUUUCCUCGAAAACUGGAUGCCAAAGGGUAGGGAUAAAUUUGAGCUGGCAUUACUAGGGGUGGGCAAACGGGUCCUGGACCUGCGGGUAGGGGCGGGUAUUGGCGGUUCGGGGCGGGUACGGGGCGGGUCCGUAUUCUUUUAGAUACAAAACGGGGCGGGGCGGGGCGGGUCCAAGUAAACAAUGGGGCGGGCCGGUUCCAAUUUUUUGAAGUCGCGGGCCCCCUUGCCCGAACCGUUUGCAAACCUUGCCCGAACCGUUUGCAAACCUUACACACUCUCAAAUAUCUCUCUCACACACACUCAAAUCUCACAAAUGCACAUCUCAGCUUUCUGGAAGAUUUUCCCGAGUCCUCCCGAGUCCCUCCCUGCCGAUCUCUAUCUCUCUUUCAGUCUUCCCUAUCGAUCUCUCUCUCCCAAAGUCAUCCUUCUCCAUUCGUCGAUUCUCCCGAGUCCUCCCUCUCGAUCUUUCUCUCCCAGAGCCUUCCCUAUCGAUCUCUCUCUCCCAGAGUCCUCAUUCUUGAUUCGUUGAUUCUCCCGAGUCCUCCCUUUCUAUCUCUAUCUCCGAGAGUCUUCCCUCUCGAUCUCUUUCUCCUAGGGUCUUCCAUCUCGAUCUCUCUCUCCUAGAGUCCUCCCUCUCGAUUCUCAAUCUCCUCUCCCACAACACCAUUAUCGCCGUCGUCUCCUGACUCUUCUCCCAAUCGUGACCACCCAUCAUCGCCGUCGAAAACACCACCAUAAUCUAAGCGGUUCAGCAGCUACAGCAGCUAAUAGGUAUGCCUAAUUUCGCAUUUCAGUAUUGUUGGGUAGAAUUGAAAGGAACCCAGAUGGAGAGUUUUAAUUUUUAUUUGAAUUGCAUGUUAUCCAGAUGAAAAAUUGAAUUUUCGAGCUACGGUUUUUCGAUUUUUUUAAUUUGGGAUUUCAAUUUUAUUGCUUUUUCUCAUAUAUGAUAAUGGUUAUGGUUUUUCUAGCGAAUUCUGAUUAUUUUACGAUCUGGGUUUAAUGAUUUUAGAUGGGGAUCAAGUAUAAUACGUGUGUAGAGGUUCUUCUUUGAAUUGCUAUGUGUGCAACAGCUUUGUUCAGUUAGCUAUCUAAUUGUUGAUUCUCAGUUAGGGUUUUGAGCAUCCAAGUAUCAAUUCUUUGUGGGUUUGUGGGUUUGAUUUGUCAAGAGUUUUUUUUUUUUUUUUUAAUGAAAGAAUAAGAAUUUACUUGCUUUACUGAAUUUUGGCAAAUCAUGCUGUGAAGGAUCUUGCAGGACUUAUUGAAGUCGUCUUUUUAUCCGCUUUGGGAGCUCGAUUUGGCUUGAUUUCAGGCCACUGGUUCGAGUUUGGUUGUCCUUCUAAUGGCAGCAGUGGCGGAGGAUGCAGCGGCAGAGGAUGAAGGUGUUAGGGCUUUUUAUGCUAGGCUUGGUUUCGUUGUCCUAUUGUAUUUGGCCUUGUAAAUGUGAAUGUGUUGUUGGUAAUAAAAAAAAGCAGCCCAAUGUCAGACCCAGAAAAAAAAAAAAUGAGUAAUUGGACCCGUAGACCCGUCCCGAACCGGCCCGUUUAAAACAGGCCGGGUUAGGUCCGGUUCCUAAAUUCAAAAUCUCUCUACCCGGCCCGCCCCGGCCCGUUACAUUUUAAAACGGGUAAGUCCGAUUCCUCCAAGUUUGGGCCCAGCCCGGCUCGUGCCCACCCCUAGGCAUUACAGUUCGGCAUCUCAGUGUUAGUGGUUGCUUGUCCUUGUGCCUUAGGACUAGCAACUCCUACAGUAGUAAGAGCAACACCAUAGUAUUAAGCCCCCAGGACAACUUCCUAUUGAAUAGCCUCCAGUGAACACUAACUACCUUUAAUGAACAGUAAUUGUCUUUUGCAUUUUUACCAAGCCCCCAUGACAACUUCCUAUUGAAUAGCCUCCAAUGAACACUAACUACCUUUAAUGAACAGUAAUUGUCUCUUGCAUCUUUACCCCUAAUUGAAUAGCCAUGCCAAUAUGCAAUAAAAUAUUAGUAUUUUUUAUUAUAUAAAAUAAUAAAAAAAGUAAUUUUAUUUCAAAUUUCGGAUAUGAUUUUUAAUCGAUCUCGUUGUACCAUGUUUCAUUAAAUAAAAAAUUACAACCCAAAGUAUUUGAAAAACAUAUAAAAUUGUGGUGUAAGGUGGAAGAUAAUAAUAAGAUAUUUAUAGAAAAAUUAAAUCUUAUUUUAUUUUAUUUUUUUACAUUUUUUAUUAAUUUUUUAAUAUGGUUGAUGUCAUUUUGACGUCAGCUUUGCAUCAUUUGGCCUCAGGCUCUCAGGCCGCCAAUUCCCGCUGGGCCUCUCACUCUGGCCUCCCCCCAGCCCAAACGCCCGCAUGGGUUGGAGCUGCUAGUGUCACGCCCCGAUCUCAACAUACGUCGCAAAUCAACACGUGGCAAAGGAAAAAUAACAUUCAUUGAAUAUGACAUACCAUACGGAAUGAAAUACUUUAACUGCAUCCCAAACUAAAAAGAAGGUGGCUAAGUUCUUCACAAGAUAUUUACAAAUAUGUACAUCCCAAAAAGAAGCAUAAUCUUUACUUUACUAAGAAUAAGUUUGAAGUGCUCAAAAGAAAGUCCCAAAAGAUAAAAUACAAGAGUGAAUCAAGGGUAAGCUAACGCUCCACGUCUCUGAUAACCGCAAUGCUACCCUCACUAUGGACUUCUCGGAGUCUACUUGAACCUGUCACCUGUAUGAUCAAUGCCUACACCAUCAGAAUGGUGCAUCGGGCAAACAUCAACCCAGAUAAGCUGCGAAGCUCGUAUGAGUGACAAUAAUACAAAGUAUGUGAUACAAUAAUAAAACCAGCCAUCAAUCACAAUUUAUAAACCUUGAACAUAAAUCAUGCAUGAGAAAUCAAUACCAAACCUUUGAAACUCUGAAGGAGUCACCCAGACAUUCAUCAAUUCGUCUGAAACAAUCACAACAUCUCACAGCCAUAUUCUCAUAUAGCACAAUGAAAAGUAGGGUUAAAGUGACAUAGUUCGGCCGAAGCCUACACCUUUGAAGCUGUCUCAAUCCAAACUCAAUGAAACCCAAGGUGGAGACGAUCCCGGACCAUCACUCAACGAAAUCGCAGAGUAUGAGGGAUUCUAGACCAUCUCUCAACGGAAUCCGAGUGAUUACAAUUUCGGACCUUCACUCAACGGAAUCGCAGAGUAUGAGGGAUUCCGGACCAUCUCUCAAUGGAAUCUGAGUAGAUACGAUUCCGGACCAUCACUCAACGGAAUCACGGAAGGCCAACAACCAUAAUGCAUAACGGCUCAAAGAAAUGAGACAAGCACAAGUUACUUAAUUUACAGAAGCUCAACCAAGGGAAAUAAGGCACAAAUACUAAAUUUAGAACGGAUCAACGAAGCGGGAAAUGAAGCAAUAUCGAAGCAACAAAUCCCCAUCACAAUGGGUUAACGGCCCACCACUAGCGUUCACAUUUCAUCACAUCAUGCCAAUCAAACAAAUCAAACCAUAUACAUACGUCAAAUCUCAAUCCAUAACUUGAAUCAAUGGCUAAGCAUUAAAAAUAACAAUUCAAUAGAAAACAUAUAUAUAUAACCAAGUCAUAUCCACAGAGGAUAACAAUUACGAAAACAAGGUAAUCAUCAAUAUCACAUAUGUUAAAGUCACUCACCUGGAGUCUGCGCUAAUGUACCCUACCACGAGAGUCAAGGCAUCACGUUCUAUCACCACCUAAACAAGGUAGAAGUCCACAUUUAGAUUUCCUUCGAUAAUCCACAUACUUAAAAACUCUCAUAUGUCUCCCACAACAAUAUUUAAUGAGGAAUCGAACUGUCAUUCUAAGGUAGGGUCCAUGAUCUUACGUCACUUAUUUUGUAAGAUCCAAUCACUAGAUUUUCACUUGUAAGUCUCUAAGGUCCUUAAACAAUAUCUACCAUAGCAUACUAAAAUUGGGUUUCAAUUCAAUGGUAAGAUUGUCAAUUUUUAGAAUAAUUAAGUGGUGGACCUUAUCAAUAAUAUACUCAACCAACAUCAUUUUCAUAAAUCGAAUGCCACACAUUGGAAAAUUCGACUUUUUCCAAAAAUUCUCAAAUUUUACAAGAAUGAAGAUCUCAACAAGUAAACUUUAUAUUUGUGGCCGAGUCCAAUUUGGCCGGGAAGGCCCUCAAAUUGGCUCGCACCCGUCGAAACCCUAAGGUGGGUGUUCUUCAAUUCGGCUUCCUUGGUGUUCCAACACCCCACCCACCAGUUGGGUCUUGUUCCUAGGUCCAAGGGAAGUUGAUUAAGGGUGAUGGUGAAUAGUGAUACUCUUCGGAACGACAAAUCACCAUCGAGAACCCCCGGGUUCUCCAACGGAGUUCUACCCGAAUUAGACCUUAAAAACCCUUGAUUUUUGAUGGAGAUGGAAGGGAGAAGAUAUUUGAGUAAGUUGCAGGUGAAGGAGAUAGGAAAAUCAACUGAGAAUUGGAGGAAUUUACCUGAAAUUGGCUGGUUUGAAAAUGGCCUGGUGGUGCACACGGGUUCACCAAAUGGGGGAGAAUGAAAAAUGUCCCCCCUUUUCCUCCUUAGUUUGUCCUUUCUAGCUCCCCCCAAAACAAUCUGAUUGUUCCCCCCCCCCUUUUUUUUUAUACUAACUUAACUUUUAGCCCACAUGUGGAAAUGAAACAAUUCCCACAAUCUAUAGUUCACAACUUCAAACGUCGGUAAUUAUACCGUUAUAAUUUGGAUUCGCAAAUGGCUUUCGCCUAUGUGUUCGUGGGUUCGAGAUCUAUUUAAAAAAACUAGUUGUAACUUCGAAAUAUCAACGAAAGAUAAAGAUUGACUAUGAAACUUCCAACUCGAUAACUAAUCAAUUACUAAACUUAUAAUUAGCGGAAUUAAAAUUAACUAAUAAAGAUAAAGUAAUUUCGAAAUAUGAAUUUAAAAUACGAAAUACGUAAUAAAUGAUGAAAUUCCGGGAAUGGGAUUUCACAGCUAUCUGGGGCAAUUGGGUUGGAGCAACAACCGGUCCGCCGGGCUAUUGAAUACGGUGGAGCUGCUCUAAUGGUUGCAACGGGGAAGGGUGCUUCGCAAGUGUCCUUAUCAAGGGUGGCAAUGUACUCGAAGAGGCUUAUAAGGUAAGAUCACCUUAUCCUUGGAAACAAAUUUCUUUUUUAAAUUGGAAUCUGGUUUUCAUGCAUUUUAUUUUUAUGUUGUUUUUGCUGCUGUGUUUAGUUGCUUCAUUAUACUUGUUCCUAACUUCCUACUUACUUUUCCUUCCAAGGAUGUCGAAAACCUGUUUGUUUUGGUAUUAGUGAAAAACAAUUACUGAUUAGAUACUAUCUAUAUAUUUUGAGGGUGCAAGUGUAGUUGUUUUUCUUGUCUUUCCUCCGUUAUGAAGUUGCUCUCCUCGUAAUAUUGGUCUCGUCAUUUCAUAUUAUCACCUAUGUUACUAACAUAGAUUAUGUCAAUAUUCCGUAUUAUAACAAGUUAUGCACUUCAUUUCUGACCAGUAAAAAGCUCUGCCUCCAUUCUGUCAACGUUUAGGAUCUUGACAUAAAACUAAAUGCAAUCUGUCAUUGGGUAUGGGGGAUGUUUUUUCUGCAUAUAUUGGGAUUGAACAUGCAACUAUUAUUUCACAGUUGGAAUCUGUCCCACUGAUGACAACUCCCACAUGACCCUUUGGUUCUGGACGAUUGAUGCCUCUAUGUACCUUGUCCAUGUCACCAAGCCAUACGAGCCAAGUUUUAAAUCCCCAUUUCUUGUAGAUGACAACUCCCUUUUAUAACAAGGCUAAUAAAUGUUUCGUUCUUUUUGGUUUCUUCUUUCGUUCCAAAAUUAAAAGUUGAACAAAUGGUUAUGGACGUUUACGGACGUGUUUGAUCCCUGCAGGUGAAAACAGUUGUUUUUGAUAAAACAGGGACUCUUCUCCAACUAGUAGAAAAGUUUGGAUCAACUAAACAUGCGAUGGAGACCAAGGACUUUGGGGUGCACACAGGAGGUAGCCUUAGUGGAAAUGUUGGUGACAAAAUGGUUUUGGGUGGGAACAAGAGGCUCAUGCGGGAAAACAAUGUCGAGGUUGGUCCCGAGGUUGACAAGUAUGUUUCAGAACAUGAGAAUCUGGUUCGAACGUGUGUGUUCAUUGCCAUAAUAAUAGUGGCGAAACCAGAAUAAAUGAGAGGAGGAGCGAAAUUUAAAAGCGUUGAUAAAAAAAUUACACAACCAAAUCCUUUUACAUGUUAGACAAUAUUAAUGUCAAUUAUAAUGUAUCAAUACAAAGAAAUGUAGUUACAAUUCUACGGGCGAGGUUUCAAGUCAUAAAAACAUGGCAUAAUAAGUUCAUUAUUAAUAAAAGCAAAAACAUCUCUUUCAAUGUAAAAAACCAAGCUAUCACUCAACAAUGGAUUUCCAUUUUGCUACUCGGUGGUGUUUUAGAAUAUUCAUAACACUGUUUGUUAUAGUUUUGUUCCAUUACGUAACUAUAUAAUGAAAAAUAAUAAUAAUAAUAAUCUUAGACUCUUAAUAUUAUAGUAUAGUCUACUAUAUGACUAAUAACUAAUUAAACUAACAAUUUAAUUAAUCAAUAUCAAUAAUCACAUAAAUUAUUUAAUAAUCAUAUAAGCUAUUCAAUAAUCAUUAAUUCAAUUCAUCAAUAAUAAACUAUUUCAUUCAUGAUUAUAAUUCAUAUCAAUAAUUAAUAAUUAAUACCAUGAGCUAUAAUUCCAUAUCGAUUAAACAAUUUCAUAUUAAAUUAUCAAUUAGGAAUUUAAAUUAAAAAAACUAGAAAUUUAACUUAAAAAUUGGCUUUAAAAUCCAGCUUUGAACUAGAAGUUGCUGACUUGGUUUGGAACUGGAUGCCGCUGGCUAAAGGUUGGCUUGAAGGCUGGAAAGGAAGGGGGUAAUCUGGGCAGAAUAAUUGAUUUGGGUGAGGGGAUUGGGAAUUUGGGACUAGGAGAAUAAAGGAUUAAAAGCAUCUCCAAAAGAGAUGUCAAAAUGUCCAAAUCAAUAAUAACAGUAAAAAAAAGACAGCUACAAUGUUUUUCAAUCGAGAAGCCAAAUCUGAUGUGGUAUGACAUGGAAUAGCAGCUCUCCCCCCUUACUGUCAAAUUUGACAAUAGCGUUAAAUAUUUUUUUAUUAAUUUUUUUUUAUCAGAUUUGCAACUCUCCUCUCUCACUCAAACCUGAGAAGUGCUGCCGUCCCUUUUCUUCCCUUUUCUCAGCAACUUCACUAAGUUACUGCUUUACAACAAAGCCUUAUACAACAUGCCAUAGUUCAAUUUUCCGAUCACUUCCCCCGGAGCAUCGAGAAUGUCACAGACUGUGAGGUCCUCCCCAUCUUAAAAAAUCACCACCUCCUCCUCUGUCUCCACAACUUCCUCUUGCUUCUGCUCUGUUUUUUGCUCAUUUUUUGCAGUUUGCUGGCAGUAAAAGUAGAUGAAAAGCAGGAAAAACACCAAAGUUAUCGAUGAAGUCAGUGCAACAAUCAAAGUCAGCAUCACACCGACAGAAUCUUAAGCUCACCUCGACAGAUGGAGCACUACUCAAUGACCCAACAAAGUACAGAAGAUUGGUUGGCAGGUUAAUUUAUCUCACUGUCACAAGGCCAGAUAUAGUCUAUUCUAUUUGAACACUCAGUCAAUUCAUGCAUCAGCCUCGGAAAACACAUUGGGAUGCCGCCUUACGGAUCCUCAGAUACAUUAAAGGCACACCUGGUCAAGAUUUACUGUUUCCUGCCUCUAACAAUCUUGCCUUGAAAGCCUUUUGUGAUUCAGAUUGGGGAGGUUGUCGUGCCACAAUGAGAUCAGUCACAGGAUAUUGCAUUUUUCUUGGAAACUCUCUCAUCUCAUGGAAUUCCAAGAAACAAACCAAUGUCUCUAGAUCAUCAGCAGAAGCAGAAUAUCGAGCUAUGGCCAACACAUGUUUAGAGCUAACUUGUUUACAAUAUAUUUUACAAGAUCUAAGAGUCCCAUAGAUAGCUCCCACACCAUUGUAUUGUGAUAAUCAAGCAGCUUUGUACAUUGCAGCAAAUCCUGUUUUCCACGAACGUACAAAGCACAUUGAAAUUGACUGCCAUAUAGUUCGAGAAAAGCUGCAAGUUGGAAUGAUUAGUCCUUCACAUGUUCCUACUCGGUUUCAGCUAGUAGAUGUAUUUACAAAGGCUUUAGGAAAUGAUCAGUUUGUGACACUGCAUGACAAGUUAGGAGUUCACAAUAUUCACUCUCCAACUUAAGGGGGAGUAUUAAAGAAAUAUUAUUAUAAUUGUAUUAUGCCUUUUCUAGCCUAGGUGAAAUCCCACAUAUCAGGGAAAAGUUAUAUGCCUUUCCUAGCCUAGGCCAAUCCCACAAAUUGGGGAUCACGGCUUGCAUGCCAUAAAUUGUAGAUAUGUAUUAAUUGUAAAGUGUUGUAUAUAAUCUCUGUAUGAGGAAUAGUUAGUCAAUCGAAGAAAUUCAUUCAAAACAAUUGCUCCUUCUAUCUUCUAUUUUCUUUACAUGAAACAUUGGAGGAAAACCCAAUUGAGGGAUCUGGCUUGGAUGUGGAGAAUUGAGAAAGUGAUGAACAUAUUGCAGGUGUGCAUAGUUUUCACGGAGAAAGACUUGAAUGUAAGUAGGAGUAGAAGAUAAGGAAAUUAAUUAAAUAAAAAGAAAAGAAAAUAGUGUAAUAAAAUAAUAUUUAAUUUGAUAUAUCAGAUGAAGAGCAAAAUUUUGAAAGAUGUCAAAAUAUCACAUAAGCUGUCAAAUUCAAAUUUUAUGUUUAAAAUUUGACAUGUCCUUUAGAGAUGCUUUAAUGGGACCGAGUGGUCCCUAUAUUGUAUUAUAUAUAUUUUUUUCAUUGAAAAGACCACGCUGGGGUUAAUGGGGUGGUCCCCAUAUUGUAUUAUAUAGUUUUUUUUCAUUAAAUCAAACAACGCCGUGUCUUCCUUUCAUUUUGGGCUUGAACAUUUCAGAAAAUAGAGCCAUUGCGCGCAGCAGCAAAAGAAAACAUAGCCCUCACUUGCAAAUUUUCCGACAGACUAGAGAGGCGGCUACUCGCUCCUGGGUUUCAUUUUUGGCGAGAGGAGUGGCGGCCGCCUCUCCUUGCUCCUCUGUAGCUUUGCCACUGAUAAUAAUUAGGUAUCAAAUUUGUCAUCAAGGGGGUCAAACUUAAAGCCUCUUGCCUACGAGUAGAGAGGAAUGUCACUUGACCCUAGUUCUAGUGACUACCAUGUUUAUACUAAUUUACAGGCCAUUUGCUAACCAUUUUAUUUUCAGUUUUCAUUUAUUAAAAUUGAAAAUUAUAAACUUCGUUGGUAACUACUUUCUUGAGUUUUCAAAAUUUAACCUUUAUUUUCAGUUUUCAUUUUUUUUUAGAAACUGAAAGUAGUUAGAAAACAAGUUUUCAGUUUUCAAAAAAAAAAAAGCCGAAAGAAAAAACUAAAAACGAAAUGGUUAUCAAACGGCUCCUUAAUUACCAAGAAAAUAAGAAAUUUUAUAAACUUUAAGUGAAGAUCACAAUUCUAUGUUGUUUGUUUUGAUUUAGUGUGAACUGAAGACUACAAUUCCACAUUUGGGCAUCUCCAACUGUGCAGCACAAAUUACCAAUAUUUUUAAAUUUCAAUGACGAUGUUUCACCAAAAGUAAAGGUGAAUGAAGAUGACAUCCUUGUUGGAAGUUACAUCAGUCUACUUACAUCAAUAGUAUACAAAAUUCAUGUUGUGAAUCAAGACGCCACCUUCUAGUCAUGCCCUUAAAUGUCACUUACAUCAGUCUCACUGCAAUCACCAUUCCCCCUCACCUAGCUAAGCUAUCAGCAAAAAAUGAAGGCUUAUUUUUAGCUGCACAUACUUAAAUUUGAUUUUGAUCACAUUUUACCCAUAUUGCAUAUGAUUUUGAUCUCAUUUUGCCUCUAUAGUUGACAAUAAGCAAAAAAUGAAUGAUGUGUUUUAUAUGUAAAAAUUCCCAAUUGCAAGACUUCGUUCUCGUCACUUCGACGUAGAAGCCGGGCAAGUCUAAGUCGUGCACAAGUCUUGGUAAGACUAACUUGUUUCCCUUUUUAUGUGAAUGUAAUGAGUUCAAGUUUUCUAUCGAAUUAAAACCAAAAGACGAAAACUACUACAAUUAAGGAGACCAUAUAUGUAUUAUGUAUGGAGAGAAGUCGUUUCCUAUUGUCGAGAAUGUUGUCGAUGAUACACUACUUGUGUUGUAUCAAUAUGAUGAUUAUGGCUAAUUACUUAAGUAUGUGCAUUAGCAAUAGCUCAAACCUAUUUCAGCACAGAUCAGUUUGCGCUUCUUGCUCUCAAAGAUCACAUCACUAGUGACCCUCAAAACAUCUUGACCGCCAACUGGUUGUCUGCCUCCAAUUCCAACAUUUGCAACUGGGUUGGCAUUAGCUGUGGUGCUCACCACCACAAAGUCACGCCCUUAAAUAUUUAAAUAAAAGAAAACAAUUUUUAGUUUUAUAUAAUUAAAAACUUGAAAAACAAAGAAAAAAAAAAGUAAAUGAAUAAAUUGGGAUUCAAGCUUCAAGCUUGUAGCUUUCUGGUUCAAUGUUCGUGCUUGAUUUGACUCAAAUGGAAAAAUAUUAUAACGGAAGCCUGACAUUGAUUUGAGACACUCAAUUUCAAUGACCAUUUAAUUAUAUAGGCUAUUUGAUCUUCAUUUCAUUUUCAUUUUUUUUCACUUUUUAAUAAAAUUGAAAAAUUGUAAACUUCUUUGGUACUGCUUUCUUAAGUUUUCAAUGUUUAGCCUUUAUUUUUCAAUUUGCUUUAAAAAAAAAAAACAUUAAAAGUAGUACAACACAAAUUUUCAGUUUAAAAAAAAAGCAUCGAAAAAUAAAAACUAAAAUAAAAUAAUUAUCAAACGGGACUUUAGUUAUCAAGAAAACAAGAAAUUUUAAGAUACUUUUUUUAAUGCAUUGUAGAGAUCACAAUUCAAUGUUGUUUGUUUUGAUCUAGUGUGAACUGAAGACUACAAUUCCACAUCUGGGAAUUGAAGAGAAAUAAUGAGAUUUAUAUGGGAUUUCUAGUGACUAGCAUGCAUAUACAAUUCAAAAUUUAUAUACAUUAGCAACGGAAGCAUGUUAUUACAUAAUAUCAAAGCUAUAGUCAUGCAAAUCCCCUUCAAGAAGCAUAGGUUCAUAUAUGAUGCAUCUAAGAAAAUAUUGAAGAACAAAGUGAAGGUUUAGUUUUAUACCUCUUGAUCUAGACUUGAGACCAAGGAUGGACCACCUCCAAGCUCUUUGUUCUUGGAACUCCUUGAGUCUAGCCUCCCUCCUAGCUUCCUCCACCUUGAAAGAUUUAGAGCUCCUUUCUCCUUUAGUCUCCAAAGUAGAAGACCUCUAAAGAUCCACACCCACUAGUGUAAUGAGAUGGAUAAUGGAAUAACCAAAAGGAGGAGAGAUGAUUAGCUUUCCCUCCUCUUGGUGGCCGGCUAUAAGUGUGUUGAGAGAGAGAGACUUGUUUUUCUCUUUUGGGAAAAAGAACACACAAAAUCCUAAUGAAACUUUUCAUUAAACUUUCUUUAUAAAUGUCAAAGAAGUGAGUGAACAACUUGACUCUCUCUCUCUCUCUCUUUGGCCAGCCCCUUUGUGUUGUUUGGGCUUUGGGCUUUUAUCAAUUCAAGUCAUCAUAUGCUUAAAUAAAAGCCCAAUGGGUUUGGGCUUAAUGGGCCCAUAUGAACCCGAACUUUUCUUUAAGUCCAAAACAAUCUUUCAUCGCUUCUAUGAUUUCUUAGACUUUCUAAUUAAUCAUAACAUUUAAUUAAUCCAAUUUAUUUAUUCCAUCAUCCUUUAGUUGUCUCACCACAAGAGUGUUUCGGUGUACAAUCAUUUUAGGUUCUAAUUAGCAAGGCAGUGAGGUGAUUGGCACCAAUCCAAUUGAUUUGUAUUAAUCCAAUCACUUAGUGAAUUAAAACUUACUUUCAAUUCUCCUUCUUCUUUGAUGACUACUUAUUUAAUCAUCUAUAAGAACUCACAAGCCAUGAGUGACAUCUAACCAUAUAUCAUGGCUACCCAAGCUAAUGUAGAAUUUGUUCGGAGAACCUAUUCAGUUGGAAUUACAAAGUAAUUCGAUCCUUCUCUAAUACAAUACUCACAAUCACAUUACUAGGGUAUGGAUAUUUAAUAUCAAACCCCUAAUGUGAUUAUAUCAAGUUAUAUGAUUCUAUUGUGCCGUAUAGGAACGCUUUCCAUCAUUACGCUUGAUACUUCGGCCGAAGAUUCCUGAAUCAUAUGUUAGAGUAUUCAUCCUCUCAUAACGAGGAUUAGAGAUCCCUUGUUGAUCAUUCACAUGCCUCUGAGAUAAAUCACUGACCCCAACAAUGCAUAGAACACAUCCAAGAUGAGAUGUGGUCACGUCUCAUUAUCAAAUGAUCAGCAACGUAUCCCCAAGACAACUAUGAUGUCUCAGGUCAAAGGAUUACUUACAUUAUUCCAACCAGUAGAGUUACUUGCUUGACAUGUGAGUAGACCUCCAUGCAAGUACUCUUGUUUGAUUGUAUUCAGUGAACUCAUUCCCAUAAUGAGCACCUACAUACUUGUCUUAGUGUCACUAAACGAAUGACAUGAGACUUUCCAUCCUUCCCAUUGGAAGGGGACAUAGUAUGUACUGGUCUAUGUAUUGUUAGUGUCCCUCCAACAAUCCUAUGACCAGGAACCUUUUUGGACAUCAUGGUUAUGUGAAGAAGGUCUUUGCAAUAUAACAUCAUUAGAUUACUUCUUCCAUCGAUCCAUUGUCCAUGGAUUCACCUUUUAGGACGUAUAUCGUUUAUUGAGAUAGCCUUAAUGAGUGACUUUGCCUUUUGAUGUAUUAGAGUUUUCCAUACAUAUAGACAUUGUCCUGAAAGGUUUCUUCCAAAGAUUGACUUUCAGGGCAUAUCUCCAACAGGAAUUUCCAGCUGUGCGGCACAAAUUACCAAUAUCGUUAAAUGUCAAUGAAGAUGUUUGGUCUUCGUGAUGUUUCACCAAAAGUAAAGGUGAAUAAAGAUGACAUCCUUAGCGUUGAUUAAUUGUUUACUUCCAAGUUGCAACUGGGUUGGUGUUACUUACGGUGCACGCCACCUUCUAGUCAUGCCCUUGAAUCUCACUUACAUCUGUCUCACUGCAAUCACCAUUCUCCCUCACCUAGCUAAGCUAUCAACAAAAAAUGAAGGCUUAAUUUUUGCUGCACCUACUUAAAUUUGAUUUUGAUCUCAUUUUACCCUUAUUGCUUAUAAUUUUGAUCUCAUUUUGCCCUGUAGUAGAGCAAUAAGCAAAAAAAUAAAUGGUGUAUUUUAUAUGUAAAAAUUUCAAAUUACAAGUCUUUGUUCAACUGGUCUAAGUCUUGUCACUUCGAUGUAGAAGCCGGGCAAGUCUUGGUAAGACCAACUUGUUUUGCCUUUUUAUGUGAACGCAAUGAGUUCAAGUUUUCUAUCGAAUUAAAGCCAAAAGAUGAAAAUUAGUACGAUUAAGGAGAGCAUAUAUGUACUAUGUAUGGAGAGAAGUCAUUUACUACUGCCGAGAAUGCUGUUGAUGAUACACUACUUGUGUUGUAUCAAUAUGAUGAUUAUGGCUAAUUACUUAAGGGCGUGCAUUACCAAUAGCUCAUACCAAUUUCAGCACACAUCAGUCUGCGCUUCUUACUCUCAAAGCUCACAUCACUAGUGACCCUCAAAACAUCUUGACCGCCAACUGGUAGUCUGCCUCCAAUUCCAACAUUUGCAACUGGGUUGGCGUUAGCUGUGGUGCUCGCCACCACAAAGUCACGGCCUUAAAUAUUUUAAUAAUAGAAAACAAUUUUUAGUUUUAUAUACUUAAAAACUUUAUAAAAAAAAAAGAAACAAAAGAAGAAGUAAAUGAAUAAAUUGGGAGUCAAGCUUCAACCCUGUAGCUUUCUGGUUAGUUGUUCGUUCUUGGUUUGGGUGAAAUGGAAAAAUAUUAUGACGGAAGCCUCACAUUGAUUUGAGAUACUCAAUUUCAGUGACAACUUAAUUACAAACUAAUUGAUAUCCUUUUCAUUUUCAUUUAUUUUCUUUUAUUUUCAUUUCAAUUUUGACAAUUACAAACUAAUUGAUAUCCUUUUCAUUUUCAUUUAUCUUUUUUUUUUCACUUUUUAUUAAAAUUGAAAAAUUGUAAACCUCUUUGGUAACUGCUUUCUUGAGUUUUCAAUGUUUAGCCUUUAUUUUUCAAUUUCCUUUAAAAAAAAACAUUAAAAAGUAGUACAAAACAAAAUUUUCAGUUUUAAAAAAAAAAUGGCUUCGAAAAAUAAAAACUAAAACGAAAUAGUUAUCAAACUUGUCCUUAAUUAUCAAGAAAAUAAGAAAUUUUAAGAUACUUUUUUUAAUGCAUUGUAGAGAUCACAAUUCAAUGUUGUUUGUUUUGAUCUAGUGUGAACUGAAGACUACAAUUCCACAUUUGGGCAUCUCCAGCUGUGCAGCACAAAUUACCAAUAUUGUUAAAUGUCAAUGAAGAUGUUUAGUCCUCAUGAUGUUUCACCUAAAGUAAAGGUGAAUGAAGAUGACAUCCUUAGCGUUGAUUGCUCACUUCCAAUUUGCUACUGGGUUGGUGUUACUUUCGAUGUACGCCACCUUCUACUCAUGCCUUUGAAUCUCACUUACAUCGGUCUCACUUCCAAAUUACAAGUCUUCGUUCAACUAGUCCUAAGUCUCGUCACUUCGACGUAGAGGCUGGGCAAGUCUAAGUCGUGCACAAGUCUUGGUAAGAACUUGUUUCCCUAUUUAUGUGAAUAUAGUGAGUUCAAGUUUUCUAUCGAAUUAAAAAAGACGAAAACUACUACAAUUAAGGAGAGUGUAUAUAUAUAUAUACUGUGUAUGGAGAGAAGUCGUUUCCUACUGUCAAGAAUGUUGUCGAGGAUACAUUGCUUGUUUUAUAUCUAUAUGAUGAUUAUGGCUAAUUACUUUACUACAGGUGCAUUAGCAAUAGCUCAUACCAAUUUCAGCACAGAUCAGUCUGCGCUUCUUGCGCUCAAAGCUCACAUCACUAGUGACCCUCAAAACAUCUUGACCGCCAACUGGUAGUCUGCCUCCAAUUCCAACAUUUGCAACUGGGUUGGCGUUAGCUGUGGUGCUCGCCACCACAAAGUCACGGCCUUAAAUAUUUUAAUAAUAGAAAACAAUUUUUAGUUUUAUAUACUUAAAAACUUUAUAAAAAAAAGAAACAAAAGAAGAAGUAAAUGAAUAAAUUGGGAGUCAAGCUUCAACCUUGUAGCUUUCUGGUUAGUUGUUCGUUCUUGGUUUGGCUGAAAUGGAAAAAUAUUAUGACGGAAGCCUCACAUUGAUUUGAGAUACUCAAUUUCAGUGACAACUUAAUUACAAACUAAUUGAUAUCCAUUUCAUUUUCAUUUAUCUUUUUUUUUUCACUUUUUAUUAAAAUUGAAAAAUUGUAAACCUCUUUGGUAACUGCUUUCUUGAGUUUUCAAUGUUUAGCCUUUAUUUUUCAAUUUCCUUUUAAAAAAAAAACAUUAAAAGUAGUACAAAACAAAUUUUCAGUUUUAAAAAAAAAUGGCUUCGAAAAAUAAAAACUAAAACGAAAUAGUUAUCAAACGUGUCCUUAAUUAUCAAGAAAAUAAGAAAUUUUAAGAUACUUUUUUUAAUGCAUUGUAGAGAUCACAAUUCAAUGUUGUUUGUUUUGAUCUAGUGUGAACUGAAGACUACAAUUCCACAUUUGGGCAUCUCCAGCUGUGCAGCACAAUUUACCAAUAUUGUUAAAUGUCAAUGAAGAUGUUUAGUCCUCAUGAUGUUUCACCUAAAGUAAAGGUGAAUGAAGAUGACAUCCUUAGCGUUGAUUGCUCACUUCCAAUUUGCUACUGGGUUGGUGUUACUUACGAUGUACGCUGAUGAGUAUAUUUUAUAUUAUAUAUUUUACCCUAAUCUUAGUAUAUUUUGGUUAAUAUAUUGGAAGAAUUUUGAUGCUUUGAAUUGUAUUUUCAAUAUAGGACUUUCGACUUCCUCUGGAGCAAAACAGGAUCAAAUGGACGAAUUUUGGAGUAAUUCCAAUUGGAGGACGUUCGUGAGUCACUUAGCUUGAUCGUAUCAAAAUUUGGGAUUUUUCCACCAAGCGGUUAUUUUCUGGCGAGGAAAUAAAGAAGCAGUGCGCAGUGCUGGAAAUUGACGUUUUUGGGCUUAAAUGACGUUUUUGGAGCCCAAAAUGACCUCGGAUGGGUUCGUGGCCUUCUGGAAAAGUGUUCAGAAUAUUCCAAACAUUCAAUCCAGCUAUAUUGGGCCAGUUUUGGAGCAGCUUAUGGGCCAAAACGUGGCUGUUCAGAUUUUAGACGAAUUUUGCUAUUUUUAUUUAGGGUUUUUAUUAAUUUUAGUUUGCUAGGGUUUGUGGGGUGGCUUAGCAAAUAUAUUGCUUGGCCGUCUACAGUUUUAGACUACGCUUUAUUUUAUGCAAUAUUGGAGACAGAGAGAAGUGCUAGGGUUUUGAAGAUUUUCUACUUGAAGGUGUUUUCAAUCCUUUUCUUAAUAGAUAUUUCUAUGAUUUCAAUUAUGAAUAUGCGGAACUAAUUUCUAUUGCUAGGGCGAAGCCUUGAGCCUUAGCAUGAAUAUGUGAUUUUUAUUUAAUUGCUUAUGAUUGAUUGCAUGCAUAUUUUGAAUUGUUAAUCACUGGGAUAAAAACUAUCUAAUUGUCUUAAUGUCUGAUCACCAUUAGGAUCUUUAGAAAAGUAAUUUGAUGCAAUUUUGGUCGGAAGGUUCCCUGAAAUUGACGCUGGCUUCUUGUGAUUAAUAAUUGUAAUUUCUCUUAGGAUGAAUAUCACGUCUUAAGGAUUGCAUGGUUUUUCAAAGGAUUUUCAUAAAGCAUAAUGAGUCUUUCAUGUUUAGAUUUGAUCCGAACGUCCGGACGGGUUGCAUGUUAGAUAUACGUUCUAUGUUGGAGGUUCCAAGUAGAAUAUGAAUUAGGAAAAUCUAACCUUCAAAGUGGCAUGUGUAGAUCAUAAGUAAUUGGUAAAAAUUCAUAGGAUUGCUAGGUGAUGGUGGAACCCUAGUGCUUUCUUAAUUUGAUUUUCUCAAAACUGUUUUCUUCUCUUUAGUCCUAAUAUUGCAGAUUGUUUAUUUUAAUUCAUUAAAUUCGUUUUUAUUUUAAUUAGGUUAUAAAAUCAAUCACUUCAAUUUCUACUUUACAAUAAUUAAAUGGAAUCUGAUUAGUUCAAAUUAUUUAAUAAUCCCUGUGGAGAUGACCUUGCGAAAUCCGUUUAUACUACAAUAACUUUGUAAUUCUUGCAAGUAAAAUAGGAGAUUUAAGCCCGUUCACAUAAGUAGUAAAAAUCCCUAUCAUACGCCACCUUCUAGUCAUGCCUUUGAAUCUCACUUACAUCGGUCUCACUUCCAAAUUACAAGUCUUCGUUCAACUAGUCCUAAGUCUCGUCACUUCGACGUAGAGGCCGGGCAAGUCUAAGUCGUGCACAAGUCUUGGUAAGAACUUGUUUCCCUAAUGUGAAUAUAGUGAGUUCAAGUUUUCUAUCGAAUUAAAAAAGACGAAAACUACUACAAUUAAGGAGAGUGUAUAUAUAUAUAUAUUGUGUAUGGAGAGAAGUCGUUUCCUACUGUCAAGAAUGUUGUCGAGGAUACAUUGCUUGUUUUAUAUCUAUAUGAUGAUUAUGGCUAAUUACUUUACUCCAGGUGCAUUAGCAAUAGCUCAUACCAAUUUCAGCACAGAUCAGUCUGCGCUUCUUGCGCUCAAAGCUCACAUCACUAGUGACCCUCAAAACAUCUUGACCGCCAACUGGUAGUCUGCCUCCAAUUCCAACAUUUGCAACUGGGUUGGCGUUAGCUGUGGUGCUCGCCACCACAAAGUCACGGCCUUAAAUAUUUUAAUAAUAGAAAACAAUUUUUAGUUUUAUAUACUUAAAAACUUUAUAAAAAAAAGAAACAAAAGAAGAAGUAAAUGAAUAAAUUGGGAGUCAAGCUUCAACCUUGUAGCUUUCUGGUUAGUUGUUCAUUCUUGGUUUGGCUGAAAUGGAAAAAUAUUAUGACGGAAGCCUCACAUUGAUUUGAGAUACUCAAUUUCAGUGACAACUUAAUUACAAACUAAUUGAUAUCCAUUUCAUUUUCAUUUAUCUUUUUUUUUUCACUUUUUAUUAAAAUUGAAAAAUUGUAAACCUCUUUGGUAACUGCUUUCUUGAGUUUUCAAUGUUUAGCCUUUAUUUUUCAAUUUCCUUUAAAAAAAAACAUUAAAAGUAGUACAAAACAAAUUUUCAGUUUUAAAAAAAAAAUGGCUUCGAAAAAUAAAAACUAAAACGAAAUAGUUAUCAAACUUGUCCUUAAUUAUCAAGAAAAUAAGAAAUUUUAAGAUACUUUUUUUAAUGCAUUGUAGAGAUCACAAUUCAAUGUUGUUUGUUUUGAUCUAGUGUGAACUGAAGACUACAAUUCCACAUUUGGGCAUCUCCAGCUGUGCAGCACAAAUUACCAAUAUUGUUAAAUGUCAAUGAAGAUGUUUAGUCCUCAUGAUGUUUCACCUAAAGUAAAGGUGAAUGAAGAUGACAUCCUUAAGCGUUGAUUGCUCACUUCCAAUUUGCUACUGGGUUGGUGUUACUUACGAUGUACGCCACCUUCUAGUCAUGCCUUUGAAUCUCACUUACAUCGGUCUCACUUCCAAAUUACAAGUCUUCGUUCAACUAGUCCAAGUCUCGUCACUUCAACGUAGAGGCCGGGCAAGUCUAAGUCGUGCACAAGUCUUGGUAAGAACUUGUUUCCCUAUUUAUGUGAAUGUAGUGAGUUCAAGUUUUCUAUCGAAUUAAAACCAAAAGACGAAAACUACUACAAUUAAGGAGAGUGUAUAUAUAUAUACUGUGUAUGAGAGAAGUCGUUUCCUACUGUCAAGAAUGUUGUCGAGGAUACAUUGCUUGUUUUAUAUCUAUAUGAUGAUUAUGGCUAAUUACUUUACUCCAGGUGCAUUAGCAAUAGCUCAUACCAAUUUCAGCACAGAUAAGUCUGCGCUUCUUGCGCUCAAAGCUCACAUCACUAGUGACCCUCAAAACAUCUUGACCGCCAACUGGUCCUCUCCCUCCAGUUCCGAUAUUUGCAACUGGGUUGGCGUUACUUGUGGUGCUCACCACCACAGAGUCACGGCCUUAAAUCUCUCGUUCAUGGGUCUUGCCGGGGUUAUUCCUCCGCAUCUAGGCAACCUCUCAUUUCUCGUUGAGUUGGGCCUUAAGAAUAAUAGUUUUCAUGGCCCCCUGCCCCAAGAAUUGUCUCGUUUGCGCCGGUUGAAGAAGAUUAACUUUGGAAACAACAACUUUAUGGGAACCAUUCCUUCGUGGUUUGGGUCCUUCGCUAAACUUGAAUCCUUCAAGUUGUACGGUAAUGGCUUCUCUGGUUUCAUACCCGCUGCUAUCUUCAACUUAUCUGCACUCGAAGGAAUUAAUCUGAACAGGAAUCAACUAUCAGGUACGUACGUAGCACCACUACGAACCACCUAGGCAUAUAAAUUAGUGUUGCUUGCUUCAUUACAUUUAACAUCUUUGUUACAUUUUAACAUCUAUAUUAUAAAAUGUAUAACAAUCAUCUCGUUUGUUUUUUUCCCUUCUUUUUUGUCGGCAUGCUUGCACAUAUUUAACAGGUAGCAUACCCAGAGAAAUCGGCAACUUAACAAUGGUGAAGGGCAUAUACCUUGACGACAACAAGUUCGAAGGUAUACUGUAUGACUUAGGUUUUGUUUUUUAUAUAUACAUAUAUAAGCCCCUUCUUAGCUGGGAUCUUGUUCAACUUCAUCAAAAAAUGAGAUGAGAGGGCUAUCGUAGGAUCGUAUAUUUACUGUGUAAGACCCUCGUAGUCUAGAGCAAAAAAGAGAUCCUAUAUAGUGAGUACAUGGUCCUUAGAAUGUAUCCCACUUUUGCUACGGUACAACGAGAUUCCCACUAAGAAGCUGCUCCUAUAUAUGUUUACAUGAUUUUAACAAUAUACACGGAUUGAUUUAUAGAACUUCCAAACGAGAUAGGCAGUUUAGGUCAGCUGGAGGAGUUGUUUGUGCAGGACAAUGCCCUAAAAGGCUCUGCUUUUUUGCCUGUCCUCAACAUAUCUUCUUUGAUUGCUUUCUCUCUAUUCGGGAACAACAUGAGUGGCAGUCUUCCGGACAAUAUAUGUGACCAUCUUUGGAGUGUUCAACUAAUUAAUUUGGGCCAAAACCAGUUAGACGGUCCUAUUCCUUCCAAACUGUGGCAAUGCAAAGAGCUUCGUGAAAUUACAUUACAGUCUAACAAUUUCCGUGGAAGCAUACCCAAAAGUCUUGGCAAUUUGACUUACUUGAGCAAGAUAUUUUUUUUCAACAAUGAUUUAGAAGGUAAUAAUUUUGGGGGCGUUUUACAAUCAUUUCGGUUUUAGUUUUUAGUUAAACCGAAGUUACAAAGUUAAUGCAAGCGUGCUAAAAUUGUGACAGGUACAAUACCGGAUGAGAUUGGUGAUCUUCCACAGUUAGAGAAUUUGGCACUGGGGAUUAAUAAUCUCAAUGGCGUCAUCCCAUUCAAACUCUUCAAUAAAACCACGAUAAGAGAAAUAUCGCUUUUUUUUAAUCAGCUAUCAGGUGGCCUCCCAGCAAACAUAGGUCUUAACGUUCCAAACCUAGAAUACCUUGGUGUAGCCAGAAAUAACCUGGUGGCCGGACUACUCCCUAACCUCUCCAAUGCUUCCAAGCUCAGGGAUUUAGAAAUGAGCCAAAACUCACUUACCGGGUUUCUUCCUAGCACACUCUGCUCCUUGAAAAACCUCGAGUAUCUAUCCUUGUCCUCGAACAAUUUGACGAUUGAUGCUUCUACUCCACAAGCUGAAAGCACUCUAUCCUGCUUGUUUAAUCUUAGAAAAUUGAAAGGAUUAUACUUGCUAGAUAAUCCAUUAAACACCACAAUUCCAGCUUCUCGCGGGAAUCUAUCUACGUCACUCCAAGAUAUUUAUUUAAGCUUUUCCAACAUUAGGGGUAACAUUCCCGUUGAUAUUGGCAACUUGAGCAGCUUGAUAGCAUUAAGCUUGGAACAUAGUCAGUUGACUGGAGUAAUUCCAACUUCAAUACAAGGGCUACAAAAUCUCCAAGCUUUGUAUUUGAAUGACAACGAACUGCAAGGACAUAUCCCGUAUGAACUCUGUCAACUAAACAACCUAGACGAGUUACGUUUGGGUGGUAAUCGGCUCUCUGGUUCUAUUCCUUCCUGCUUGGGUACUUUGUCAGUAGCUCUAAGAAGUCUAUCGCUAGGGUCCAAUUUGUUAACUUCUAAAAUACCGUCUUCCAUGUGGGAACUCAACCAUAUAUUGCACCUAAACUUGUCAUCCAAUUCUCUAGUUGGACCACUCUCAGAAGACAUCGGAAACUUGAGAGAUGUGGUGGAUAUGGAUUUAUCAAACAACUAUUUCUCUGGAAACAUUCCCGGUAGCAUUGGUGGUCUUCAAAAUAUGAUUAAUUUUUCAUUGGCAAACAAUUAUUUACAAGGCCCUAUUCCCAGUUCAUUUAAAACCUUGCUAAGCCUAGAAUUCUUGGAUUUGUCCAAAAACAAUCUAUCUGGAGAGAUCCCAAAGUCAUUGGAAGCACUCUUGUAUCUCAAGCAUCUAAAUUUGUCUUUUAACAAACUCCAAGGAGAAGUUCCAACCGGCGGGCCUUUCAAAAACUUCUCUGCUGAUUCAUUUGUAUCAAACGGUGCACUCUGUGGUGCUUCCCGACUCCAUGUUCCCCUAUGCAAAAAUAGAACAAAAGUUAAGCCAAAUUGGAGGAAAGCUAAAUAUAUCAUCUCAGGGGUCAUACCAGUAAUAUUCCUAGCGGCCGCUGUAUUGAUUCUGAUACUAUGCAAGAAAAGGAAUGUCGAAGUUGUUAGAGAAACUGCCUCACUACAUCAAGUUCUUUGGAGAAGAGUUUCGCGCCUAGAACUUGUAAGGGCAACAAAUGGAUUUCAUGAGAGUAACUUACUAGGCAUGGGGGGUUUUGGCUCAGUAUACAGAGGAACACUUUCAGAUGGGAUAGAUAUCGCUGUCAAGGUUUUCAAUUUACAGCUAGAAGGGGCAUUCAAGAGUUUUGAUAAGGAAUGUGAAAUGCUAAACAAUAUCCGUCACCGGAAUCUUAUUAAAAUCAUAAGUUGCUGCGAUGAACUUGAUUUCAAAGCCCUGAUACUUCAAUUGAUGCCUAAUGGAAGCCUCGAAAAGUGGUUGUAUUCUCCAAACCACUCCAUGAAUAUCCUGCAGAGGUUAGACAUAAUGAAAGAUGUUGCAUUGGCACUAGAAUAUCUUCAUCAUGGUUGCUCGAUACCUAUCAUUCAUUGUGAUGUGAAACCAAGCAAUAUACUACUAGAUGAAGAUAUGGUUGCACAUGUUGCUGAUUUUGGCAUUGCAAGACUCAUCGGCGGUGGAGAUUCAAUGACAGAAACCAUGACCCUGGCCACAGUUGGAUAUAUGGCUCCAGGUGAUGUAUUUUCUUAAUUUUGUAUAUGUUGGCCUUAUUAGGAGUUAUAAUUUUCUUUUUAUCAUGUAUAACUAAAUUCACAUACAAAUUUUGCAGAGUAUGGGAUGGAAGGAAGCGUUUCGACUAGAGGGGAUGUGUAUAGUUUUGGUAUUGUACUCAUGGAGACAUUCACAAAAAGGAAGCCAACAGACGAGAUGUUUGUUGGGGAAAUGGAUUUAAAGCAAUGGGUUGCAGAUUCAUUAUUUCCAGAUGCUGCAAUAGGUGAAGUUGUGGAUGCCGAUAUACUUGGGGUGGAGGAAGAUGGUGAUUUCGUGAGCAGAAGGGUUUGCUUAUUAUCCGUUAUGAGAUUAGCUUUAGCUUGCUCUGCAGCAUUGUCGGGAGAGAGGAUUAACAUGAAAGAUGCCGCAAUCACACUCACCAAAAUCAUGACCAAGUAUUUGAAGGACCGUGGAGGAAUGAACUCUUAGUUCUUUUUGUUCUCUAUAUUUUCAAAUCCAUUUCCUUAUUGUUGUUUUCAAUCUGCAAUGACUACAUUAUCUUCUCAUAGUAUAUGAGAAUAUGACGAUAUUCCUAAAAUUGAAAUGUCAUACCUGGAUUUGUCAAUGCAAUGAGACCAGUAGUACCAAAAUUGCAAUUCCAAUUAUUCUUCCCAUAUUUGGUAGUAAAGCAUUCAGUUUCUACAACCAACCAAAUCCAUUUCAAAAAAUUUACACUUCCAACUCAAGAACACCUGUCAUGGGAACAUAAGGUUAUUUCAGUCAAAAUAUCAGGAAGUUACAAACUUCUACACAUGCCCUUGACAAAAAAUUAUAAUCCAUAAUUGUCCUUAUUUUACUAACCAGUACAUCCUAUGAUGAUUUUUUUCUUUUCUCUCUCUAGAAAGACAAGCAUCAAUGCAUUUUCAUUCUUAAUCAAACUGCAUUAACUUAGUGCAGUUUCUUAAAAAUCCAUUCCCUUGUCAUGACUUCAUACUAAAUAAUUAAAACAUAUCUACUUUUUAAUCAUGUUGCGUAAGAGUAGUGAAGACUUAAGUAGCAAACAGUCUGCAAGUACAACCCCUAGAAGCAAAUAGAGUUAGUUAUAAAAAAGGGAACUUUAACGAAAAGCACCUGGUACUGUUCACUUUAACGAAAAACCACAUUUUUACACUAAAAAGUCAAUCCUGGUACUGUUCACUUUACCCUUUAUUUUGUCCUUAUCAUUAAAACUCAAAGUUUUCAAGCCCUUUUCAUUAGUUUUCCUUUAUAAAAAAGUUCCAGUAAAGAUUGAAAAUAUAUAUUGCAGGCCCAUAUUGUUUACAUGCACCUACACAGAAAUGUUGCAUGGCUAAAGAAACACAACUUCAAUUCAGCGUUUGCAUUUUACUCUAAGUGGUAGUUCGAGGAUGAAAUGUGCAUGAACAGAACAAGAAAAGCAAUUAUGUCAUGCAAGUUACACAAGGCUUUAGAUAUGCAGAAAUUUUUCGUGGGAAAUAAUUAAGCAAGCUGCUUUCAUCAGUUUCAUACGAGGCAAAAACACCCAUAAUCAGAAACAAAACUUUCCUCUCCUUCUCCAUAGAAAGGAACUUGAGAUGCGAGACUAUUGUAACAGCCAGCCUUUUGUGGUUCCUUCUCUUCCCACUGAGGUUUUCCUUCCUUGCGUGCAGCCAACUUAAGGUCACCCAUCCU